UGAGGAAUAUUGGUCAAUGGGCGAGAGCCUGAACCAGCCAAGUAGCGUGCAGGAUGACGGCCCUAUGGGUUGUAAACUGCUUUUAUGUGGGGAUAAAGUGCGUGACGUGUCAUGCAUUGCAGGUACCACAUGAAUAAGGACCGGCUAAUUCCGUGCCAGCAGCCGCGGUAAUACGGAAGGUCCGGGCGUUAUCCGGAUUUAUUGGGUUUAAAGGGAGCGUAGGCUGUUUGUUAAGCGUGUUGUGAAAUGUAAGAGCUCAACUUUUAGAUUGCAGCGCGAACUGGCAGACUUGAGUGCGCACAACGUAGGCGGAAUUCAUGGUGUAGCGGUGAAAUGCUUAGAUAUCAUGACGAACUCCGAUUGCGAAGGCAGCUUACGGGAGCGCAACUGACGCUAAAGCUCGAAGGUGCGGGUAUCGAACAGG
rnacentral:rRNA from 1 species